GGCAGGAGACAGGGAGGAGAUGUCUCGCUGUGGAUCCAACAGCUGAGGCAAUGUGAGAAGGUCACCCAGCCAGAACGUAGCAGAGCUGAGAGCCAAACAGUGGCCUAGAAGACAACUGGGUCUCUGACCCCAGGACAGAGCCUGUGGCCAACAGUAGCAGCUGCUGACCUUCCGGCCAGGGAGAGGACAGACAACAGGGAGAUACUAUCCAAACACAGGACAGGGGAAGAAACCCACGUGUCCAAGGGCAGACUGCAGAUAGUGUGUGAGCCUCACCAAGGACCCGGAGCAGGCUUGUUACUGAGGCUAACACAGUCAGAGCAAGGCUCAGCCACCAGUCCUCAGAAGGCAACUGGACAGGGGCUGACGGAGCUGGCUCUUCUCCAGCUGUUAGGCGUUCAUCAACAUUCCUGUCAGCGACACUCCUGGCUCCAGCUGCAGAGGAGGGCUAGGCAUUUGUCGUCUGCCCUGCAUUCAUCGAGCAAAUCUCGACAAACCUUGGAGGUAAAAAUAGAAGCGAGCUUAGAGCUCUGCAGUGCACACGUGGGCCAGCUGCCUCUUUUGUCACGGCUGAGUGUCUGCGCUGAGUCCUCAUGUCAGGGGCAGGCGGACACUUGACUUCAGUUUAUUUAAGGUUUCUCUCUAGCCCCAGGCGAGCGCUGGCAAAUUCCACACUCAGAGUCGUAGUGUGUGAGUGUGGAGGUGACAGACUGAUUGCAGCCAUCUGCUCCUGGUAGUGUCCUCCGGACCACUGUAUACCCCCAGCUCCUCAUGAAGGCCCCUCCUGGGGUUGAAGCAUAGAUUCCCUUCACACUGAGACCCCACAGACCCACCCGAGUCCUGCUGUCUCCUGCAGAUCCCAGCCAGGACGCUGAAGGUUUGUAUGGUGUAGGAAGAAAAAAAAAACCAUAUUGUGGAUGGAGUUUGGUUCUGCCCAUAGUUCCAGACACCCACAAGAGCAUCAUGGGAUAUACCUCCUGCAGAUAUCAGGUGCUUCUGUAUCCUGUUCAUCUCUUACAGCAUCUUCUGUUUGCCUGCGUCAUUGGACUGCGGGGUCUGCUGCAACUUUAAGGGCAGCCACGGAAAACAAGCUCAUUUGCAGAGCGAACAAAUAAUAUAUCGAGCUCCCUGAAAGCAAGACCUUCACAACCAUGAGCUUUCUCUAGCCUUGGUUGUCCCUAAGACUGGGGGGAUUUCUCUAGUCAUGUUUGUCUUUCGGGAUGAUGGGAGCAUUCUGGCUAUGGUUUGAUCUAUGGAGAAGCCUUGACUAUCACCUUAGCCUUCUCUCUGGUAAUUCAGCUCCCACCUGGUCCUCAGGUGUUGGCUCCCAGACCAAAUCCUGCCUUCCCUCCGACCCCUAUCCACUCACAGAGCACACACAGCCUUCCAGCUCAGACUCCGGGUAAGCCUCGCCUCUUUGAGAGACCCUCAACACUCAGGGCUGCCCUUGACUGGACAGGGUGUGCUUCAACCAGGCUUUAGUUUCCUCAGCUGAAAAAAACAGUCAUCUUGCUCAGGUUGUCCCUUAGUCCUGUGGUUCAGAGGGUGGGGAAAGGCAGCAUGUCUCUUCAUUGCCACUAGAUGGCACCCAGGGGCCACCCAUCUCCCUGAAGAUGGGACUCCGAGGCAUUCCAACCAGAAUCCUGAGCCAAGGUCAGUGCAUGAAGGUAAGGGGGUCAGUUUAGGAGAUCGCGGGGGACAUCAUGAACUUGGCAGUUCCCAGUCACACCCUCCUCUGAGUGAGUGCCCUGGCUCUCCUUGUCAGUGAACUUCCUGGGUCUCAGAGACCUAAUACUGGCACCUCAUACAAUGUCCUUGCUGACUCUUGGCACAACACAGCCUUCCUAACAACACCCUCUGUCCCUGAUGUCAUCAGUGUUACUUUGGGUCUCAGGGUCUCAGGAUCUCCCCUGGGGAGAGGUCUGGGCAUGGUGCCUAGAAAUCUGGAUCUGCUGUUGGCUGUCCUCUUGCUGUGUGACCUUUGGCAAGUCACUUUCCAUCUCUGGUCUUCUGGUUAACUAUAACCAGCCUCAAGAAGCUUAGAGUGCCAUGGAAGAAUCAAGGUGUCCUCAGUUGAAACUACUCAAAGGUUGGGAGGGCCUCAGAUCCUGA